AGCGGCGGACGGGUGAGUAACGCGUGGGCAAUCUGCCCUUCACAGGGGGAUAACACAGGGAAACUUGUGCUAAUACCGCAUAAGAUCGUAUAACGGCAUCGUUAAGCGACCAAAGGAGCGAUCCGGUGAAAGGAGGAGCCCGCGUCUGAUUAGAUAGUUGGUGAGGUAACGGCCCACCAGGUCGACGAUCAGUAGCCGAACUGGAGAGGUUGAUCGGCCACAUUGGGACUGAGACACGGCCCAGACUCCUACGGGAGGCAGCAGUGGGGAAUAUUGCACAAUGGAGGAAAAACCUCUGAUGCAGCAACGCCGCGUGAAGGAAGAAGGUCUUCGGAUUGUAAACUUCUUUGAUCGGGGACGAAGAAUGACGGUACCCGAAAAACAAGCCACGGCUAACUACGUGCCAGCCGCGGC
rnacentral:rRNA from 1 species